CGGAGGUCACCAAACUCUUGAUAAUUUAUGGCCUCUCUGAGUCUUCUGUACUGAAUAAGUCAAAACUUUCAACAACGGAUCUCUUGGUUCUGGCAUCGAUGAAGAACGCAGCGAAAUGCGAUAAGUAAUGUGAAUUGCAGAAUUCAGUGAAUUAUCGAA
rnacentral:rRNA from 1 species